rnacentral:lncRNA from 1 species
AGAAAAAACGAAGGCCAUGACCUUGGCAGUUGGGUGGCCGGAGUAGAAUUGGCUGGUGGUAGAAGAUGGCGGGUGCGGAUGGAUAACGUGGAGACCUGGAAUUCUGGUGACGACAGAGCUGCGAGGCAUAAUGGGCUCUAUUUGAAAGUUGUCUGGGCAUAGGUGAAUAAUCAGGCCGUAGUCCUGAGUACUCAUUAAGAAGGUGUGAGGCCACUGAGUGACUGUUUUCUUCUCGGGGAAGGAUCUCAAGACAAACAGCGCAAGGGACAGCCUGACUGUAAGAGGGAGGUCUGAUCUCAUCAGCAGCCCUGCAGGUCCCAGACCACUUCUGGGAGCUCCACUGCCUAACAGAGUCCCUGCCUUUAGAUGGAGACACUACUUUGGAACGUUUUGAAUGACAUUUUUGUGGCUCAUGCUGAAAGAGAGCUUCAGAGGCCAAACAUUAACAAAGAAGAAAAAAUUUCUUUUAAAGAAAAGCCAAAGAAUUAUUAUAGAUCUUUUCUUUUGACAUUCCUAAACAAGAACAGGCCUAGAUGGUGUCAUUUUCAAUUCUUGCCCUAACUGGUAUUGUAUGAUUUUUUUUGUUUUUAAGUUGCCCUAAAUUUUUGCACAAUUUUGUUUGUGUUUUGGGUGAAUGUUACCUUUACAUGGAAUAACUAAUGUUUCUUAACUGUUUACUUUAUAACGAAUUUUUUUUUUGUCUUUUUCUGAUUUUGAGUAACAACUAACUUUAUGUCUGAUAGUAGUUGUAUUGGGGCUUUUUUUUUGCAAACAUGGACUAAUACCUUAGGCCCCCAGAAACAAAGAUUCCGUGGAGAAUGUAUUUUGAAUUUUCCCUUUAUUAUUCCCACAUGGCAAACUCACAACUAAAAAGAAAAUUGGAUGUUAUAUUAUAUGAUUCAGAGAUUUGUACUUUUGUUUCAGAUUUUGUAUGCUUUCUUUC